GAAGAAUAUACCUUCAACGAGAUUUAGUUGCAGUUGACUUGAUUGAUAAACAAGUGAGAUGCGGCAGAAAUCUUGCAGGAAAUUCCAGACAUAUCUAUCAUGGAUUGAAUAAACUAGUACUCGAAUCCAAGGUCUCUUUUUCAGUUUUUGGCAUCAGAGAUUCAUAUGGCUUUGCACCAGACUUGUUGCAUUUGAAUUAGUACUCUUUUGUGUUAACUGUUAACUAUCUUAUGUCCUUUGUUGCUUUUGAAUUACUGAAUUAGUACUCUUUUGCUUUU